UUGGCCGCCUCUCCUCCUCCUCCUCCUCUUCUUCUUCUUUUCUUCCAAACGUAUUAUGACCAGCUUGAGAAGAGAGCUACAGAGGUCUCAGAGAAGCUUCCAGGAUGGCUAGAUGGGAUGGUCUCGGCCAUGGAUCAGGGGCUGUUUCCUAAACUGCAGUUCCCCUAGGCCAGGAAGGGGCCACGGGGACAUCUGGCUGGCCCUUGGGCUCAGAAUAAGUACCCAGAGUGGGCCCGAAGGGCUGAAGAGGGCUGCCCAUGCCGACCGUUUGCGAAGUGGGGAAGCAGUACCCAGAGCCGCCGUACCCGGACAGACCAAUGUCCCAGCAUGAGACUUCUCCGGCUGCACUGCGGAGGGCCAGCAACCACCGACGGGGCAACCCCUGCUGCUUGUGCUGGUGCUGCUGUUGCAGCUGCUCCUGGAAUGAAGACCGGGAAAGGGCCUGGAGAGCAUCUCGUGAAACGAAAUUGGAGACCAUUCCAAACUGUGAAUCCUG